UGGUUGGUACAACGAGUUGCGAGUCGGUGACGGCGAGCUAAUCUACUUAAAGCCAAUCUCAGUUCGGAUUGUAGGCUGCAACUCGCCUACAUGAAGUCGGAAUCGCUAGUAAUCGCGGAUCAGCACGCCGCGGUGAAUACGUUCCCGGGCCUU
rnacentral:rRNA from 1 species